rnacentral:rRNA from 1 species
CGGACGGGUGAGUACCACGUGGGUUAUCUGCCUUUGGGUGAGGAAUACCGGCGAGAAAUCGCCGACAAUACCGCAUAGCUUUGGAAACAAAGAAAGCUUCGCAAGAGGCGCCCGAGGAGGAGCCUGCGCCCGAUUAGUUAGUUGGUGGGGUAAUGGCCUACCAAGACGACGAUCGGUAGCUGGUCUGAGAGGAUGAUCAGCCACACUGGGAUUGAGAACGGCCCAG